GACGGAGGAUGCAAGCGUUAUCCGGAAUGAUUGGGCGUAAAGCGUCCGCAGGUGGCAGUUCAAGUCUGCUGUCAAAGACCGGGGCUUAACUUCGGAAAGGCAGUGGAAACUGAACAGCUAGAGUAUGGUAGGGGCAGAGGGAAUUCCUGGUGUAGCGGUGAAAUGCGUAGAGAUCAGGAGGAACACCGGUGGCGAAGGCGGUUCUCUGGGCCUUACCUGACGCUGAGGAGCGAAAGCGUGGGGAGCAAACAGG
rnacentral:rRNA from 1 species